UACGAAGGGGGCUAGCGUUGCUCGGAAUUACUGGGCGUAAAGGGAGCGUAGGCGGACUGUUUAGUCAGAGGUGAAAGCCCAGGGCUCAACCUUGGAAUUGCCUUUGAUACUGGCAGUCUUGAGUACGGAAGAGGUAUGUGGAACUCCGAGUGUAGAGGUGAAAUUCGUAGAUAUUCGGAAGAACACCAGUGGCGAAGGCGACAUACUGGUCCGUUACUGACGCUGAGGAUCGAAAGCGUGGGGAGCAAACAGG
rnacentral:rRNA from 1 species